AAUCUGAAGGUGGUGUAAAUAGGGGAGGCAGGUGUUGAUACAGGAGCACUAAGGAAAGUUUGACUGGACCUGGAAGCCAGGGUAAAAAUCCCAAGUACUCUUUGACAGACUUUGAAUAACUUCAGAACUGUUGGCGAAAUAAUGGCAAUCAGCCUUGCCCAUGGUGGCCCAGCUCCUGCAUUUUUGAAAGAGGUGCUACAACUUCCUCUGCAUGGGAGAAUCUUCCCAGCUCAUCAGCAGGGUGAGCCUGUCUAGCACUGUUAAGAUAGCAUUAGGUCUUCUGUAUCUUCAACACUGAACAUUUUGAAAAUGUGGCAGAUGAACGGUCUCUGUGGGCAGAUGAAUUUGUAAGCUGUGGAUACACUUGCCAGAUCAAGUUGGAAAAUAAAGAGAACAUCAUUCGGUAAGAGUGUAAUUUCUGUAAAUGGUGAGGUUUUUUUUUUUUUUUUUUUUUUUUUAUCAAAGAGCAAUUGUCUUGCACUCAAGACUGAUUCCAGUGCUGCAGCAAUAGUGCAUAGAACUGUAUGGUCUGGUGAACCAGAUGGCUGCAAAACCCGAAACUUGCCACACCCUGUUUGUUCCUGGGAAGAUCACCAGAGUUAGUAUUAUAACUUUUGUUGCAGACAACCCCUGUUCUGGACUGUAUGCUUUAUGUAUUUCCUAUAGUUCACCUUUGAAUACUUUACCAAAUCUGCAUUCGCUCCUUCUUUAUAGCCUGAUGCAGAUUUCAUCAUUGAAAUGUCAUUGUUGGUUUGACAGCAUGUGUAAGAACUAUGUACAAGUCAUAACCAUGUGACUGAGAAUGUUCCAGAGGAUUGAUGGUUCUCUGAAGUCCUUCCAAGGUUUCUUCAUCCAGUGGGCAUUCAACAACAACAACAACUGUGUCAUUAGAGUCUUCUUGCAGUACAGCACUCUCCCAGUCAAUGCCUGGAUCAUGAAGCUCCUUCCAAUUCAGAAACACAUAAUGCAAAAUCCUAAUCACUGGGUACUUGAAAUGUUGUUUUUGCAAUAAAUGCACAGACAUUA